rnacentral:rRNA from 1 species
GACGAACGCUGGCGGCGUGCUUAACACAUGCAAGUCGAACGGAAAGGCCCUGCUUUUGUGGGGUGCUCGAGUGGCGAACGGGUGAGUAACGCGUGAGUAACCUGCCCUUGACUUUGGGAUAACUUCAGGAAACUGGGGCUAAUACCGGAUAGGAGCUCCUGCUGCAUGGUGGGGGUUGGAAAGUUUCGGCGGUUGGGGAUGGACUCGCGGCUUAUCAGCUUGUUGGUGGGGUAGUGGCUUACCAAGGCUUUGACGGGUAGCCGGCCUGAGAGGGUGACCGGCCACAUUGGGACUGAGAUACGGCCCAGACUACAACGGGAGGCAGCGGUGGGGAAUAGUGCACAAUGGGCGGAAGCAUGAUGCAGCAACGCCGCGUGCGGGAUGACGGCCUUCGGGUAGUAAACCGCUUUCGCCUGUGACGAAGCGUGAGUGACGGUAAUGGGUAAAGAAGCACCGGCUAACUACGUG